rnacentral:misc_RNA from 1 species
AUUAAAACAAGUUUAGUUAUUCCUAUCAAUUUUCCUUAUUAAUUAUAGUUUUAAUUAUAAUAAUAAUAAAUAUACAGUGGACUUAAUACCAGAGAGAAGACUUCUCUCUGCUUAAUACUAUGAAGGGAUUUUUAUUUUUAGAUCUUUUAAUAUGGUAGGCCUUCUGCUCUUUUCAAUUACCUUAUGGCACCCUGCUGAAAAAUCUCUCAGCUGAUUCUUGAAGUGUUUAUAUUUUCGUAAAGCUUGUUAACUUAUCAUUCUAAAUAUUUUUGUAGUGCAAAUUGAAAUAUUAAACAAUUCAAUUCAUCGCAACGAUGGGUGGUGGAGAUUUGAAUUUAAAAAAAUCAUGGCAUCCAUCAACAAUGAAAAAUAUGCAAAAGGUAUGGAAAGCUCAACAACAAGACAAUCAAGAAAAGAAAAGAAUUGCUGAGUUAAAGAGAGAUAUAGAAAUGGAACGAGAUCAAGAAGAUAUGAAAAAAUAUGCAAUGGAACAAGGAGUUAUUGAAAAGAAGGAAGAUAGAAAGUUAGAUUGGAUGUAUAAAAGACCUAAUCAAAUAAAUAGAGAAGACUAUUUGACGGGAAAAAAGAUCGAUAAAGAUUUUGAACAAUUUUCCCAAGCUGAGAAAGAUGCUGAACGUAAUAGAGCUGCAACUAAUCAUGUAGAAUAUGAAUGUAUUCCACCUUCAUUAAGGUCAUUUACUGGUAAUGAACAAGUAGAUUUAGCUCGAAAAUUACAAGAAGAUCCUUUGUAUGCAAUUAAAAAAAAGGAAAUAGAAUCUCGAAGUAAACUUUUAAAGAAUCCAGUAAAAUUAAAAAAACUUCAAGCACUAGUAAGUGAAAAACAAUCCAGCAGUGGACCUUUAUUUAAGCAUAAAUCUAAGAGUCAUAAGGAUUCAUCAAGUAGCACGAAAAAAGAUGAUCGACACUCUUUUAAAAACAAAAUUCUAUCUGAUAAGGAAAAAUUAAAAAAGCUUAAAGAGAUGAUGGAAAAUGCCUCUUGGCGUGAAAAGGAACGUAAGAAAAGUGUGAAACGAUAUCAAGAACAAGCAAAAAAAGAUCAGAGAGAACAAAAUAACAAAAAAUAUAGCAGUGAUUUCAUAAGAAAACAACUAGUGAAAGCCACUGAAGUUAGUACUGUCGCAUCUAGGAUAAAAUCUAACAUGAAUAAUAUCCAACGAUCUGAAAAAGCAAUGGACACAAACUUUGCCAAAAGAUAACAUGACGUAACAUUGCAUUAUAAAAGCACGCCAUAUUUGAAUUAUCGAGAAGAAUCGCUGCUUAAACAAUCCUACUGGAAGGACGAAGUUCAAUAGGGAAAUUUCCUAUUGAAGAUAUUUUUCUAUAGAAAUUGCUUGUAUCUUAUUCAGUUAUCCUAUGGGGAAACGCUAAUUACUAUUCCCAUUGAGAAUUUCCUAUUAAAUUAAGGGUAAACCUAUUGAACGUUUCAGGAAGAUCUUAUUACCAUCUUAUUACCACAAAAAAAAAAUCAGUUUACAUAAGAGAAAUUUUAUAAUUCGCUCUCGAGGUUUUUAUUUAUACAGAUUUGUUGUUUAAAUAUACACUUCCAAUGGAAUUUAUUAGAAACUUUGCUCAAAAAAAUCCUGUUUAUGUUGAGAUUUGAUCCUGGUAUCCUCGGGUCCACAAGUCCAGUACGCUAAUGACUAAGCUAUUCUAAUUAGAAUGUCAUGUCUUCAUGUUUUAAUGACUUUUGCCUAAUCAGUUUGAGUCGAACAUUGAUAAUAAUUCAAACAUUAAUCACGUUUGCUUCUUAUCAAGCAGAAAAAAAAUAAUUAUAAUUUGUAAAAUUUGACAAGUAAAAUGCAACUCAGAAAUUAUAUUUUUUUCCAAUAUUUCGUGAUAAGAUUUUAUAUUAUUCAAAAGAAGAACAUUAGCACAAUUUCAAUAGCAAGUCGAUGGAUUCAAAAGGAAAAUACAACGAAAAGGAAUAUACAGCAUAGAAAAUAUUUUCUUAUUGCCCUCGAUGCUUUCAUAAGAAUUUGAGCAUUUAAAUAGGCUCAAUUUGUACAUGUUUCUAUAGGAAGUAAAUAAAUUAAAAAACAAAAUACGACUUAGCACUUUGUAGUGGCACUAUUCUUCAACAGGAUUUAAUAUUUUCUUACACGGAAGAUUUUAUGAGGAAUGAAUAGAUUGAAAAGGAAAAUGUGACUUAGAAAAUAUUCUUUCAUCACGAUAUUCCCUAUUAGGAUUAUGGAAAUAAUUUUCUGGCAAAGCUCUGCUAAAGCUCUGGUAAAACUCGAGCAGAACUUUGACAAAAUUGUGGAAAAUACCUGAAAUCUUCUUAAGUAUUUUCGACAAUUUCUCGUAACUCUGUCAUAAUUCUGAAAACAAUUUGACAAUUUGAACAUCUUUAGAAUUUGGCUACAAUUAUUCUGGAAAAAGUCUCAAAAAUAUCUGAUUUUUUCUCAACUUUUUUCUGGCUUUUUAUUGAUUUUUUUAUGACAAAAAUUAGAAAAAUUCUAAAAUUGUCCUGGCAACAUUCUGAAAUUUUUCUGGUAAAAUUUUGGAAUUUCAAAAUCAAUAUAAUCGACUUUUAUCUAGAAAAAUUUUGAAAUAUUUUAGGAGACGUCAGACUUUUUCUUGACUUUUUUCAAUCGCUUAAGAAGGAAAUCAAUGUUAUAGAUGUCCAAUGUGCGGGACAAUUGUAACGAGAGUUGAUAAGCUAACACUUGAGUAUGAGUUGCAAUUUUAUUUUGUAUCAUUUUAUAUCCAAUUCAAAAAAUAUUUCAUUUUUUCAAGGAAAAAUGUAACUAUGUAUUGCUUGAUAUGCAAUUAAAAAAUUUUCUCAUUUUCUUUUUAAGGAAAAAUAUGAUAAUGUGUUGCUUAAUAUGCAAUUUAAAAUAUA